AUGAUAGCACGUACCAGCCACACAUGAUCUUAGCAGAGGACGAAGACAUACCACAAUUUUGUAAUUAACAUGCAGUUGUUUGAUAUGGCGACCCCGACUCUUACCGUCAACGGUGUAGCUAAAGCUUUUAAUCAGUUUUUUUGUUUAUCCAGAUCCAGCAAUUACUUUAAUUUGAAACUAACGCCAUCUAAUUCCUUUCAGCCAUUUAAUAGGGCCGCCACUUCAAGUUGGGCGACCUCAAUUCUUGGGCCAGUGGUGGACCUUCUCCGUACGGGGGUCCUCCUCCUGCCGCUGGUUUUUCAGGAAGAGGCCCUAGAGUUACUGGUGGAUCCAUUUCUGGCGUGCUCCAGCCGGUUGGUAGAUUUGAUGUUGGCCGUGGUAGCAGUCGACGGGGAUUUAGUAGCAGCAGAGGCCAUAAUUCAUGACGUGACAAUGGAGGUAGAGGCUUGGAUUCGGGCCGCGGUGGUGGUAGAUCUGGUGGAUGUCGUGGUUGAAGAGGAGAUAGACAUGGUGAUGGUACCUAUCGAGAUGACUUGGAUAAAAUUUCACUUUCAAAGCAAGAUUUCGGAAAUUUAGUACCUUUUGAGAAGAACUUCUAUGUGGGUAAUGACGGAGACAGAGGUUAUGAUGUAUUGAGCUAAGAGGGAGAUUACUGUUGCAGGUCAUGAUGUUCCUAAGCCAAUUUGGAUGUUUCAGGAGGCGAAUUUCCCUGGUUCAUGUUGCCCAUUUUGAUUCUGUCUAGCUUUCUAAAGUUGACAUCUUGUUUUCCCUAAUUUUUUUUUUUUUAAUCGUGAUUCAGUUUUUAGAUUACCAUCUAGAGGUUAUUUCUAAAUUAGAAUUUGUUGAGCCAACGACCAUUCAGGCUCAAGGAUGGCCUAGGGCUUUGAAGGGUAGAGAUUUAAUUGGCACUGUAGAGACUGGUUCCGGAAAAACUUUAUCAUAUCUGUUACCUGCUUUGGUACAUGUUAGUGCGCAGCCAAGAUUGGGUUGGAAUUUCUUACAGAGUUGUACUUUCUUUUGUGAGCUAUAGGAUUUUUUUAGGUUAUCAGCUAAUUUUGGUAUGAUCUUGCUGUGAUUGUUUAUUUUGAGGUGAAGGUCCUAUUGUGUUAGUAUUAGCACCUACCAGGGAAUUGUAGUUUGUAAGUCAGGAUUUUAUUUUUUUGAUGAGGGGUAUAAUAAUUUUGAAAGCUGGUUUACAUGCGGUUGUUUACCUUGCUCAAGUCGCCUGAAAGUCAUGGCUUCACCCAACAAGUGUCUAAGUAACAUGAUUGAAGUUAUCGUUGCCCAUCCACGUUCAUGGAGCUGGUUUUGCUGUGGCAGCCUGGUUGACUCACAUGUUUAUUCAUUUUUUGGAAAAUGGUGGUCUUUAUGCCUGCAAGGUUAAGGAUAUAAAAUGUGUGGUCAAUUACGAUUUUCCAUCCAGCCUUGAGGAUUAUGUUCACACGAUUAAUUGGCCGAACUGGUCGUGCUGGGGCCAAAUGAAUUGCUUUUAACUUUUUUGUACAUUCAAAUGCAAAGUUUUCUAGGGAUCUAAUCAAGAUCUUGCAAGAAGCACGACAGGUUCUGAGUCCCUCUUUUGGUUCUAGCUUUGGAGCUUCUGCGCGACAUUUCCACGCCAGAGGACAGGGAGAAUUUGCCAACCGAUCUUUGAUUUCAGGGUCUAAUGCUAUUCCCCUUGGUUCGAGGAGGCCGGGGAAGUUUGGUGGUGAUAUUGUUUUUCCGGAAGGGCAAUCUUGAAUCUGAAUAAGUUGGGUAGUUAGUUAAUAGAGUAUAAUGCAUCUGAGAAAAGUUUGUUUGUUUUAUCAUUGAUAUUGAUAUUGCCAUUAAGUCACAAUUUGCAACAACUGGUGGAUAAAUUUUAUAAGGAAUUCAUGUUAUAGCAAUUCAUACAGAUCGAUAUCAAUGCAAAGGAGUUAACCUAAAUUUGAUAA